rnacentral:rRNA from 1 species
UACGUAGGCAGCGAGCGUUGUUCGGAGUUACUGGGCGUAAAGAGCGCGCAGGCGGUCGUUCAAGUCGCGUGUGAAAGCCCCCGGCUCAACUGGGGAGGGUCACGCGAUACUGAUCGACUGGAAGGCAGGAGAGGGUAGUGGAAUUCCCGGUGUAGUGGUGAAAUGCGUAGAUAUCGGGAGGAACACCAGUGGCGAAGGCGACUACCUGGCCUGUUCUUGACGCUGAGGCGCGAAAGCUAGGGGAGCAAACGGG